rnacentral:lncRNA from 1 species
CCCACCAUCAUCUCUUUGGUUGCCAAGCAGUCAUCCAUCCCGAGUGCUACCGUAGCAAUCUCUCUUUACGUCCAUUGAAAUACUUAUUACACACUGCAGGAGGACUGAAUGCAGCCCUUGGGUAUAAAAGGACAGCUCCAGGGGCGGUUUUCAUUGUUGUAUUGUUCCCUUACACCAUGACUCUGGGAUUUUGCAACUAAACCAUGUUCAUAAACGUGUGUUGAACUGCAGGCCAUUUCUCCGCGGGGGAGAGAAAAUCUUUAAGGGGUCUCCGGAAUUAAACGUGACAGCCAAGUCACCUUCAAGUACGUCGCAUGCAGCACCAACACUAACCCCUGGGCGCCGCACUUGCGGCUCGGCCGCCGGAGAGUGUGAGUGGCUCCCGCCAGGGAUUCACAGCUCACCAGCCAGGCCGUUCACGGGGGCGGGGCCACACGCCCCUCAGCCCGGUCGGGACCGCCCUUGAGCGGGUCCGGUGGGCGCCACCCUCGAAAGGUGGAAUCUGAGAAGGCCGAAGGCUGAGGAGCCGACGGAGGGGUACCUGAUAAGACCCGCCGGUUAGGGCCAGCUCCGCUAGGACCGCUCGGCCAUUUGCAAUGCAGCUGUAGGUGAUCGUCAUAGUGGGCGAGCUAAUGAAGGAAGAGCUCCCGCCACAUCUAACCGCCCGCAACAGUCCCGGGGCGGUGACUGGGGCGGGGCUUCGUGAGAGGACGAUGUCUGCGCAGGCGCGAGGGCCGGUUGAUUGGCAGGCAGGGAGGCGGGGCCAUCUCGUGCCUGGGCUGAAACAGAUGAAACCGGGCGAGGUCUCUGAAAAAACUGGGUUUGGCUAAUGAUGACAAUAUGACCCGAUGCUGGUCAGUGAGCUGCCAGAGACGUCUGCUGGGAUACAGUUGGGAAAGACGUCUUCCUGUUGGAGAGAUUUGUCUGAGGUCAUUUUUCCCCUCUUCUGGGGUUAUGUUCUGUGAGGUGAAGACAUGAUAUUUGGAGUUGUUGUAGCAAUCUUAAUACCAUGAGACAACCAACCAGAGGAUGACAAUCCAGUGUGUUGAGGCUCUCAGAGCAAAAGGAUGGAAGGAGCCUGGGACCUCGAAGACAUCGCCGAGCUGCUGGACCAAUUCUUGAACAGUGUGUCUUCAGACUUAUGACUUGAAAGGGUUAUGUGUAUGUCUUUAUUGUUUAAACCACUCUAAGUUGAGCAUUCUGUUAACUGCAGUCAUAAAUAUACAGAUGUACUCUUAAUUUACCUUUUCUUUGUCUCAGGAAGAAUUUAAGGUUCUCCCCCUGCCCCGUCCCUGUACAGUGUGAUUAAAGAAAUUUGAAAUAGGUAAAAAAUGAUGCAACAUAAAAACAUAAAGGGAAGGAAGGAAAGAUGGGAUGAGGUCUGAUGUUAACACACAAAAAGUGUGCCAUGACAUCCAAUAUACUUUCUAGAAGAGUGCUAACGUUUUAUUUUGUGGUCAGAGAAAUACCAUCAGAGCACAAUAUUCAGUAGUUUCUCUUAAAAGUUUGU